rnacentral:lncRNA from 1 species
GCCAGCUCCAGGCAGUCAGUUUUUAAAGAGGAGAACGGCAUCAUCAGAGCUGUGCUUUAGGAAAUGGCCAUAUUUAGAACUGUCUGGAGGGAAAGAAACAGGAAUCGGGGGACCAUUUAGGAUGCCAUAUAUAUAGUUCAGCCCUGCUUUAUUGGUGAAAAUGCUGUGCUACAUGUGUAACAAAGCCUUGUGAACAGUGCUGAUCAUCCCUGAAGUCUCCAAUCCUUUCAUUUAGUGCUGAAGAUUAGCCCUGAGCUAACAUCCACGCUCAUCUUCCUCUACUUUAUAUGUGGGACAACCAGGACAGCACAGCUUGAUAAGCAGUGAGUAUGUCCAUGCCCAGGAUCCAAACCAGCGAACCCGGGUCCGCCAAAGCAGAGUCCGUGAACUUAACAGCUAAGCCAUCAGGUCGGCCCCCUCAAAGCCACCUCUUUUUGACCUUCUGAAUUGGGAAGAACAGUCAUCCUUUGAUUUUAGUUGCAAUUAACGCAACUACAAUGUCUUUUUACGCCCAAAGAAUGAUCCUGUGUUUCCUGGCAACAAAACUACUCUUAGAAUUUGAGAAUGAAUCGCAGUACUGCCCUUUCUUCAGAAAGCAAGUGUCCAG